UUAGUUAAAAAGUUAUAAUGGAAGCCAAUGACCAAACUAAUGAAAAGUUAACUUCUUUAAAGUCAAUUGUGGAAUCUAUAUCACCAAAAAGAGUUAUAUCUUUGAAAGAGCAGAUAGCUUGCAAACAGGAUGAGUUAGAAAAAAGGAAAGCAAUACUUGACGUUGCUGAGAAAAGAACAAAAAGAUUUUUUAACAGUUUUUCAGAAGCCGAGGAAGAUGAAAUUGCUUUAAAAGAAAUGCAAAUGAAGCAAGAAAUACUCAAUGAGGAAAUAGUUCGCAAACAGGAUGAGUUAGGACCACAAGAAAAGAUUUGCGAACCAAAAAAGAAACAACUUACGCGGGACGAUUUUCUAAGUUGGCGACGAGAGCACGACGGGCCAAAAUCUCGUAGUGCCUUCAAGGUUUGGCGACGCAAUGGCGGUAGAGAUUUUGAAAAUUUCCGUAACAACUCACGUCGUGGAGGUGGUCGAGGCGGUCGGAAAAGAGGCGUCGUGGUGAAUCACUAUUACUAAUUUUAAAUAUAGUAUAUAAAUGCGAAAAA
rnacentral:lncRNA from 1 species